UACAGAGGUCUCAAGCGUUGUUCGGAUUCAUUGGGCGUAAAGGGGUGCGUAGGCGGCGCGGUAAGUCGGGUGUGAAAUCUCGGAGCUUAACUCCGAAACUGCAUUUCGAUACUGCGGUGCUUGAGGACUGGAGAGGAGACUGGAAUUCAUGGUGUAGCAGUGAAAUGCGUAGAGAUCAUGAGGAAGACCAGUGGCGAAAGCGACUUCCUGGACGAAUACUGACGUCAUGUGCGAAAGCGUGGGGAGCAAACAGG
rnacentral:rRNA from 1 species